rnacentral:rRNA from 1 species
UACGAAGGGGGCUAGCGUUGCUCGGAAUCACUGGGCGUAAAGCGCACGUAGGCGGCUUGUUAAGUCAGGGGUGAAAUCCUGGAGCUCAACUCCAGAACUGCCUUUGAUACUGGCGAGCUUGAGUCCGGGAGAGGUGAGUGGAAUUCCCAGUGUAGCGGUGAAAUGCGUAGAUAUUGGGAGGAACACCAGUGGCGAAGGCGGCUCACUGGACCGGAACUGACGCUGAGGCGCGAAAGCGUGGGGAGCGAACAGG